UUACCCAAUCCCAAUUCGGGGAGGUAGUGACAAUAAAUAUCAAUGCGGGGCCCUUCGGGUCUUGCAAUUGGAAUGAGUACAAUUUAAAUCCCUUAACGAGGAUCAAUUGGAGGGCAAGUCUGGUGCCAGCAGCCGCGGUAAUUCCAGCUCCAAUAGCGUAUAUUAAAGUUGUUGCAGUAAAAAGCUCGUAGUUGGAUUUCUGGGCGGAGCGACCGGUCCGCCGCUGUGCGGUGUGUACUUGUGUUCGACUCGGCUCAUCCUUGCGGGGAAGCGUCUUUCCGGCAUUAAUUUGUCGGGGCGGGGAACCGCAUCCUUUACUGUGAAAAAAUUAGAGUGUUUAAAGCAGGCAAAUCGCUGUGAAUACAUUAGCAUGGAAUAAUAACAUAGGACUUUGGUUCUAUUUUGUUGGUUGGAGGCCAAGGUAAUGAUUAAUAGGGACAGUUGGGGGUAUUCAUAUUUAAUUGUCAGAAGUGAAAUUCUUGGAUUUAUGAAAGAUGAACUCAUGCGAAAGCAUUUACCAAGGAUGUUUUCAUUAAUCAAGAACGAAAGUUAGGGGAUCGAAGAAGAUUAGAUACCCUCGUAGUCUUAACCAUAAACUAUGCCGACUAAGGAUCGGAGGGCGUAUUUUUAAUGGGCCCUUCGCACCUACGAGAAAUCAAAGUCUUUGGGUUCCGGGGGGA
rnacentral:rRNA from 1 species